GCGCGGGUGGUGGAAUUGGUAGACACGCAGGUCUCAGAAGCCUGUACUUAACCGUGUGGGGGUUCAAGUCCCCCCUCGCGCACCA
rnacentral:tRNA from 1 species